ACCGGGAGCGGCGGCGCGCUCCUGUAAACCGGCGACUCGGUGGUCGGAUUGCGUAGAUCGGUCGUGGAGGGGAGAACGUUCGGCUGUGUUCAAACAUUCGAUUGCACGAUAAGGGAGGUACCUUCGGCUCUGUGCAAUCCAU